rnacentral:rRNA from 1 species
UCGAGAAUUUUUCUCAAUGGGCGAAAGCCUGAAGGAGCGACGCCGCGUGAAGGAUGAAGGUCUUCGGAUUGUAAACUUCUGUCAUUAAGGAACAAACACUUCGUUUAACUGACGGAGGACUGAUAGUACUUAAAGAGGAAGGGACGGCUAACUCUGUGCCAGCAGCCGCGGUAAUACAGAGGUCUCAACCGUUGUUCGGAUUUAUUGGGCGUAAAGGGUGCGUAGGUGGUUUCGUAAGUCGGGUGUGAAAUCCUAAGGCUCAACCUUGGAACUGCACUCGAUACUGCAUAACUCGAGCGCUGGAAAGGAGACUGGAAUUUACGGUGUAGCAGUGAAAUGCGUAGAUAUCGUAAGGAAGACCAGUGGCGAAAGCGAGUCUCUGGACAGAUGCUGACACUGAGGCACGAAGGCCAGGGGAGCAAACGGG